rnacentral:rRNA from 1 species
GACAGAGGGUGCAAACGUUGUUCGGAAUUACUGGGCGUAAAGCGCGUGUAGGCGGCCUAGCAAGUCGGAUGUGAAAGCCCUUGGCUCAACUGAGGAAGUGCAUUCGAAACUGCGAGGCUUGAGUCCCGGAGAGGAUGGUGGAAUUCUCGGUGUAGAGGUGAAAUUCGUAGAUAUCGAGAGGAACACCGGUGGCGAAGGCGGCCAUCUGGACGGUGACUGACGCUGAGACGCGAAAGCAUGGGGAGCAAGCAGG